UACAUAGGGGGCAAGCGUUAUUCGGCGUUACUGGGCGUAAAGCGCGUGUAGGCGGGAAGGUAAGUCUGAUGUGAAAGCCCUGGGCUCAACCUGGGAAGUGCAUUGGAUACUGCUUUUCUUGAGUUCUGGAGAGGAUGGGGGAAUUCCCGGUGUAGAGGUGAAAUUCGUAGAGAUCGGGAGGAAUAUCAGUGGCGAAGGCGCCCAUCUGGACGGCAACUGACGCUGAGACGCGAAAGCGUGGGGAGCAAAUAGG
rnacentral:rRNA from 1 species